rnacentral:rRNA from 1 species
GACAGAGGGUGCAAACGUUGUUCGGAAUUACUGGGCGUAAAGCGAGUGUAGGCGGCCUGCUAAGUCGGACGUGAAAUCCCUCGGCUCAACCGGGGAACUGCGUCCGAUACUGGCGAGGCUUGAAUCCGGGAGAGGGAUGUGGAAUUCCAGGUGUAGCGGUGAAAUGCGUAGAUAUCUGGAGGAACACCGGUGGCGAAGGCGGCAUCCUGGACCGGUAUUGACGCUGAGGCGCGAAAGCCAGGGGAGCAAACGGG